GACGUAGGGCGCAAGCGUUGUCCGGAUUUAUUGGGCGUAAAGAGCUCGUAGGCGGCCUGUCGCGUCGACCGUGAAAACCCGCAGCUCAACUGCGGGCUUGCGGUCGAUACGGGCAGGCUGGAGUUCGGUAGGGGAGACUGGAAUUCCUGGUGUAGCGGUGAAAUGCGCAGAUAUCAGGAGGAACACCGGUGGCGAAGGCGGGUCGCUGGGCCAUUACUGACGCUGAGGAGCGAAAGCGUGGGGAGCGAACAGG
rnacentral:rRNA from 1 species